GGCACUAGUCAGAUUUAAUACUGGGGCAUAGGAUAUCGCGUUUAAACUCGGGAUUUUUACGUUUCGGGACUUAGAAUUUUUACGCGCCUUCUUAAAGUCGCGCUGCAGCGUCGUCACGAAUGACACUCUAUCGACUUAAAAACUACAAGGCGUCGUCAGAAUAAAUAUGUGGACAUAGGAUAUCGCGUUUAAACUCGGGAUUUUUACGUUUCGGGACUUAGAAUUUUUACGCGCCUACUUGAAAGUCGCGCUGCAGCGUCGUCACGAAUGACACUCUAUCGACUUAAAAACUACAAGGCGUCGUCAGAAUAAAUACGAGAGCAUAGGAUAUCGCGUUUAAACUCGGAAUUUUUACGUUUCGGAACUUAUAAUUCUUACGCGCCUACUGAAAGUCGCGCUGCAGCGUCGUCACGAAUGACACUCUAUCGAAGUAAAACUUACGAGAUAUUGAUAAAUU